rnacentral:tRNA from 1 species
CGGAGCGUGGUGUAACGGCAACAUGCACCCUUCGGGAGGGUGAGAUUUUGUGGGUUCGAAUCCCACCGCUCCGA